UUCAAAAUGUUUAAACUUUGUGUUGGUUUCAAAUUAAUUUACAAACAGUUUUCUAAAAGCAAACAAAGGAGAAAAACCCCAAAAUCUAACCUACCUUCCCGGGCUUCCCCUCUCUCUGUUUUCCCUCUGGCCCGAACCAACCCCAGUCCACCUCCCUUCCUUCUGGCCCAUCUUUUCUCUCCACCGCAGGCCCAAGCAGCUCGGCACCCAUCUUGGCCCGUACCCCUUCGGCCCUCCCCCACCUUCUUUUUCCUCGUCCUCGCUGGAAAGCGACCGAGCACGCAUGGCGCGUGAGGCCGUGGUCCUCACCACCGCACCGACGCCACCACCUGCUCCCUCCCCUCUCCUUAUCUCUUCCAGGACCACCGCACCUCACUUUCCUCCUCCCCCAAGUUUCCUCUCCUCCCCUUCUUCUUCCUCUGCAAGCAAACGGGAGAACCCCCCCACGGCAACCACCUCUCCGCCUUGGCGCCGCUGCUCCGGCCACCCCCUUCCCCGUCCGAGCACACCACCAGAUGCAUCUCGAUCUCCUCUACCACCUCCUGCAAGGAAUCGAGCCGCGGAGCCCUGCACGCGACGCCAUCGUCUCCGAAGUCUGCCACGGCUACCGGCGAAAAUCUUCAAUUCCGACGACCACCCUCCUCCUCUGCUCUCGCCGUCGACGCCUUGAGCUCCAGGGACCUCGUCGCCGGUCGCCUUCCGGUGAUCCCCAAGACGGCGCGCCACCACCUUCAGGUUCGCCUUGGCGAGACGCGCCGAACGCCUCCACUCGCGCUUCCGGGUACCCCCUGCAACGCCCGCCCGUGCGACGCCGCCCCGCGGUGACCGCGCCUCCCUGGAACGCUGCCGGCAUCGAGCAGUUGAUGUGCAGCCGCUCAAGAUCUGCCACGCUGGCGCCAGCUCAGCACCGCGGGCCCCUCCUGUCAGCGACCUGGGCUAACCCCCCUCCGCAUUUGCUUCUUCCCGGAUAGGAUCGCGAAGUGGUGUGGUGAGAUACGACAAGUUCUCCCGAUGUCCCUCGGCAAGCUUUAACAGGCAAGCAUUUUCCCCUAUACUUCUGCCCCUGCAGAAGUCGCUCACCUAUUUUAUUUUGCCUUCUUCCUCAUGCUAGCUUUAAGUUGCGUUCUUGUCACGUGUCCCUUCCACUUGUUACCUCAAGCAGCCUAUAUUGCCUCCACCAACCACCUAUGGCUAUUGUUUGGUUUCGGGUCUGCCUUGCGAGUCGUAGUGCAUGCUAGUGCUGUUUAUAUCUCGUUACCGAUACUGCGAUCUUAUCGGGUUAUCUGUUGGGGAACAUGACACAUGGUUUAUGGAUAUAUCUGUUGUGGAUAUCAUGGUUACUUGUUAAUAGUUGUUAGCGGAGACAUCGGUGGGUCAGUUGCUCGUUUUAUGACGGCUCACUUGUGUUUCCUAAAUAUCUUAGGACCCCGAGUUCUUGUUAUCUGUUCCGAGACUGAGCGCUCUAACCACACGUGGGUAUGUUUCUGGGUCUCCCCUCGACCACUGCCGGAAUCUACAGCUUUGUCCAGUGGCCACAACUAGUUCGCAAUGUUUUACCAUUUGUU